rfam:Oryza sativa Japonica Group DNA, chromosome 8, cultivar: Nipponbare, complete sequence.
GAUUUCAACUGAAAAAGUCAUCAACAACAAAGUUGUAUAACUCACCAAAAUCUAUAACUUUUAUUUUGGUCAUUUUUUCAUCCGACAAAGUGAUAGUAACAUUGUUCACAAAAUUCACAUAUCUCUCAUCUAGUUUUAUAAACUAUAAUACAGAUAUGUAAAUUUUGUAAACAAUCUUACUAACACUUUAUCGGAUGAAGAAAUGUUAAAAAUAAAAGUUAUAGAUCUUGAUGAGUUAUACAACUUUGUUGUUGAUGAUUUUUUCAGUUGAAAUC